rnacentral:rRNA from 1 species
CAGUCGAGCGAACGGACGAGAAGCUUGCUUCUCUGAUGUUAGCGGCGGACGGGUGAGUAACACGUGGAUAACCUACCUAUAAGACUGGGAUAACUUCGGGAAACCGGAGCUAAUACCGGAUAAUAUUUUGAACCGCAUGGUUCAAAAGUGAAAGACGGUCUUGCUGUCACUUAUAGAUGGAUCCGCGCUGCAUUAGCUAGUUGGUAAGGUAACGGCUUACCAAGGCAACGAUGCAUAGCCGACCUGAGAGGGUGAUCGGCCACACUGGAACUGAGACACGGUCCAGACUCCUACGGGAGGCAGCAGUAGGGAAUCUUCCGCAAUGGGCGAAAGCCUGACGGAGCAACGCCGCGUGAGUGAUGAAGGUCUUCGGAUCGUAAAACUCUGUUAUUAGGGAAGAACAUAUGUGUAAGUAACUGUGCACAUCUUGACGGUACCUAAUCAGAAAGCCACGGCUAACUACGUGCCAGCAGCCGCGGUAAUACGUAGGUGGCAAGCGUUAUCCGGAAUUAUUGGGCGUAAAGCGCGCGUAGGCGGUUUUUUAAGUCUGAUGUGAAAGCCCACGGCUCAACCGUGGAGGGUCAUUGGAAACUGGAAAACUUGAGUGCAGAAGAGGAAAGUGGAAUUCCAUGUGUAGCGGUGAAAUGCGCAGAGAUAUGGAGGAACACCAGUGGCGAAGGCGACUUUCUGGUCUGUAACUGACGCUGAUGUGCGAAAGCGUGGGGAUCAAACAGGAUUAGAUACCCUGGUAGUCCACGCCGUAAACGAUGAGUGCUAAGUGUUAGGGGGUUUCCGCCCCUUAGUGCUGCAGCUAACGCAUUAAGCACUCCGCCUGGGGAGUACGACCGCAAGGUUGAAACUCAAAGGAAUUGACGGGGACCCGCACAAGCGGUGGAGCAUGUGGUUUAAUUCGAAGCAACGCGAAGAACCUUACCAAAUCUUGACAUCCUUUGACAACUCUAGAGAUAGAGCCUUCCCCUUCGGGGGACAAAGUGACAGGUGGUGCAUGGUUGUCGUCAGCUCGUGUCGUGAGAUGUUGGGUUAAGUCCCGCAACGAGCGCAACCCUUAAGCUUAGUUGCCAUCAUUAAGUUGGGCACUCUAAGUUGACUGCCGGUGACAAACCGGAGGAAGGUGGGGAUGACGUCAAAUCAUCAUGCCCCUUAUGAUUUGGGCUACACACGUGCUACAAUGGACAAUACAAAGGGCAGCGAAACCGCGAGGUCAAGCAAAUCCCAUAAAGUUGUUCUCAGUUCGGAUUGUAGUCUGCAACUCGACUACAUGAAGCUGGAAUCGCUAGUAAUCGUAGAUCAGCAUGCUACGGUGAAUACGUUCCCGGGUCUUGUACACACCGCCCGUCACACCACGAGAGUUUGUAACACCCGAAGCCGG